rnacentral:lncRNA from 1 species
AAUUCACGAAUCCUGCGAAUGCCUACUAUGCGUGUGCACCGUGUGGUGUUUCACUACUUCUUUUUUAUCUUUUUUAAAUAAUUACUUAUUAUAUUUUGAUGCGGUGCCAAAAAGCUCUUCCACUAUGUGGUUGUAACCCGUCUCUCCCGAAAAGCUNNNNNNNNNNNNNNNGUUCUUUUGGAUAGCCACUACCAAUAAAACUUGUUUUGCUGCCACCAUUUUUGCCUGAUAUCACUAAUCUCUUCUUUAUGCUUACUUUCAACUUUUACAAGCUUCUUUUUUUCUUACCAUAAGGGUUCCAUGGCUAAUCCUUAUGACUAGUAGUUAAAGACAAUCACAAAUGACAACUGAAGGAAAAUAUAUGAAAGAGAGAAAGAGAGGAAAGAAUAACAACAGGAAAGCCCAAUUAAAGAGUCAUCAUGGGGAAGCAACAGGGGAGUAGAAAGUGAUUUUAUUUUAUUUUUUUACAAAAUUAUUGGGGUGAGGAAGGUUGAAGAUACACAACACUUCAUGGCCCCACAAUCUUUUGGAAAUUUAACUGGUUAAAUGAAACACAUCACCGAAUCGUGGAAUUCGUGGUUGAAAUUUUCGUUGCAUUAAGCAUUAUUCUU